rnacentral:tRNA from 1 species
GAUAGUGAAGUAAAAAUUACAUUUAGUUUCGACCUAAAAUUAGGAUAAUAUUUGUUAUCCCUUAUCU